rnacentral:rRNA from 1 species
CGAUGAACCUCCUUCGGGAGGGGAUUAGUGGCGAACGGGUGAGUAACACGUGGGCAAUCUGCCCUGCACUCUGGGACAAGCCCUGGAAACGGGGUCUAAUACCGGAUACGACACACGGCCGCAUGUCCUGUGUGUGGAAAGCUCCGGCGGUGCAGGAUGAGCCCGCGGCCUAUCAGCUUGUUGGUGAGGUAACGGCUCACCAAGGCGACGACGGGUAGCCGGCCUGAGAGGGCGACCGGCCACACUGGGACUGAGACACGGCCCAGACUCCUACGGGAGGCAGCAGUGGGGAAUAUUGCACAAUGGGCGCAAGCCUGAUGCAGCGACGCCGCGUGAGGGAUGACGGCCUUCGGGUUGUAAACCUCUUUCAGCAGGGAAGAAGCGCAAGUGACGGUACCUGCAGAAGAAGCGCCGGCUAACUACGUGCCAGCAGCCGCGGUAAUACGUAGGGCGCAAGCGUUGUCCGGAAUUAUUGGGCGUAAAGAGCUCGUAGGCGGCUUGUCGCGUCGGUUGUGAAAGCCCGGGGCUUAACCCCGGGUCUGCAGUCGAUACGGGCAGGCUAGAGUUCGGUAGGGGAGAUCGGAAUUCCUGGUGUAGCGGUGAAAUGCGCAGAUAUCAGGAGGAACACCGGUGGCGAAGGCGGAUCUCUGGGCCGAUACUGACGCUGAGGAGCGAAAGCGUGGGGAGCGAACAGGAUUAGAUACCCUGGUAGUCCACGCCGUAAACGGUGGGCACUAGGUGUGGGCCACAUUCCACGUGGUCCGUGCCGCAGCUAACGCAUUAAGUGCCCCGCC